rnacentral:rRNA from 1 species
CUGCAGCCCGAGUGGUGAUCGAUUUUAUUGAGCCUAAAGCGUCCGUAGCCGGACUAGUAAACCCUUGGGUAAAUUGGGCAGCUUAACUGUCCAAAUUCCGAGGGGACUGCUAGUCUUGGGAGCGGGAGAGGUCAGAGGUACUCAAGGGGUAGGGGCUAAAUCCUGUAAUCCUUUGGGGACCACCAGUGGCGAAGGCGUCUGACUAGAACGGAUCCGACGGUAAGGGACGAAACCCUGGGGCGCGAACCGGAUUAGAUACCCGAGUAGUCC